UACGAAGGAUCCAAGCGUUGUCCGGAUUUACUGGGUUUAAAGGGAGCGUAGGUGGGCUAUUAAGUCAGUGGUGAAAGCUUGCAGCUUAACUGUAAAAUUGCCAUUGAAACUGAUAGCCUCGAGUAUGGUUGAGGUGGUUGGAAUGUAUCAUGUAGCGGUGAAAUGCUUAGAUAUGAUACAGAACACCGAUUGCGAAGGCAGAUCACUAAACCAUUACUGACACUGAGGCUCGAAAGCGUGGGGAUCAAACAGG
rnacentral:rRNA from 1 species